GGCAACGGCCAGCGGGAAAGCAGUCACGGAAAUGGUGCUGGUCUUCAGUGUCGUGCAGGACAGAUGCCAAGGCUCCCGCCUCAAGGGCACGGUUAUCCUCACACGGUCACUUCAGGGCAAUCAUUAGGAUGACACUAGGAGCAAAGCCCGCUGGAUCAAUCCCCAUACCAGCAAGCCGUGCGCUGUGGAAACAUGACCAGGCAGAGGGGCACCACGAUACCUUGCGGAAGCCAGGCACGUGACACGCUCACCAGAGAUUCUGGGGAAUCAGGACACAGUACAGCCCCAACCAUGAUCCAUCUGAAAUGAGGUAGACAGAAGCCGAGGAAGCUGUAAACCAGAACCAAGCCCGAAUCAAAUAGAUCAGGCAACAAAAAGGACACAAGACAGAGCGAAGGCUGCCCUCUCAAGGAGAACCGCACCCUCUCUCGGGCAGGGGGCUCAGCACAGGGGCUGCUCUGCGAGGGAGACCACACUCAU